CUUUUGAGACAACCCCUCCCUUCAGCCCCGCGCCGGGGCCGGCUCGAAGGCGGAGAAAGGCGCCACGCUACCCAUCCCCGCCCUCCUCGCCCCCACGCCGCGAUUCAGGACAAGUCCGGAGUCCCCGCCCCUGGCGGGGUCGGCCUCGGGGGCUCUGAGGGCGGCCCGGCCAGGCCCACCUCUAUCCCUUCCUCUUUCGUUUCCCACGCGGCGUUCGAGGAAGGGGCCGGGCGGCCUGGCAUCCCCGCGCCAGUCUCCACCGAGGGGGACGCCGGGAGGGGCGGUGACUCCAAGCGCGCCCCCAGUCGCCCCACGCACCGGUCGGCCUGGGGGCUGAGCCCCUGCCCCUACCCUCGCACGUGGGCAGCGCUGAGUCUGCGCCGCGGCCCCUCCCCAGCGGCUGUCAAUCCCCGGGAGUCGCCACGGCCCCCGCCGCCCGCGCGGACCGCCCAGCGCCCACCUCCGCCGAGGGCGGACGGAUGCGCUCCCCGCCGCGGGGAACCCGAGUCCGACGCCUCUCCACCCCAAGCAGUCAAACACACACCUCGUCUGGGACGCGGCGCUCCGAGAGGCUUCCAGCCCGGAUCCCGCUGGGCGGCGCCGCCUCCGCCCGCCCCCACUCCGAGCCCCAGCCGGCCGCGCGGGACUCGCGCCUUACGUAAGCCGGGGAGACCGGCUCCGCGCGAGCUGUCGGCCGGCGCCCCCUCCCCUUCCCGCCGCUCGGCUCCCACUCCGCCCUCCCAGCCCACGUGCUCCCCACCACCCUGCGGGGGGCGCCAGGACUCAGACCCACCUCUUGCACUCGCCCGGGGACCCCGUUUUUACUGUCAAGGGGAAGGAAAAAUACAACUUGUUGAGUGCCUACUAUGCGUCAAGUUCAGGGCUAGUGGUUUCCUUACGCAACAACCGUUCCAGAUAUUCACAGAUGAGGAAAGGAGGCUUGGAGUAUCGCCAUUCAUUCAACAAACGUUUGUUGAUCUCCUACCGUGUUCCAGACACUGUUUUAGGCGCUUGGCAUAUAGCUGUGAAUCAAAGAGGCGGAAUCUUGCCCAGAGUGCAGCGGGAGUUUUGAACCCUCAUCUGCAUGGCUCCAAAGCCCAGGCUCUUUGGGGAAGAAGGAAGGAGGAAAUGGUCACUCACCUGGGCUCGGGUUUUUAG
rnacentral:lncRNA from 1 species